UUUGGGCAUUGUUUUCUCUUAACCUAAAAACCUAAAACUAAUACCCCGACCUAGAUUACACGGAGAUGCCGAGGCUUUUCUCCUCCUGCCACUUCGUCUUCUCUCUUCUCCUCUACCACUUCGUUUUCUCCCCGUGAAACCAAUUCGAGUCGGUUUUCUUCAAGAGUGAAGGAAGCUGAUUGAGGAUAUAGAUGAGUACGACGGUGACAACCCUCUCUUCCCAUGGAUAAAAUGUGUUAAAUGGGUGCAUAAGGCGUUUCCUCCGGGUGGAGAGUGCUCGGGCCUGUUGGUGAUAUACGAGCAGUGCGUGAGAAGUUCUGGCACUCGGACCGGUACAAGGAUGAUCUUUGUUACCUCAAAGUCUGGUUGGAAAAUGAAUGCAAAGCCUGUGGAGAAGUUGAAUGAUGCUUACAAGAAGUUUAUGGUGAGAACUAUGAGAAGCACCAAAACAGUUGAUGAUAUAAGAAGUUUCUUCUAUACAGGAAGGCAAGCUUUAGGACCACAAGCAAAGAGAACAAAUCUGAAUCACUAGCAGUUUCAUCAUUAUCUCAUCCAAGGCACCUUUGGCUGUGUACAAGGAUACUACAACGGGGGAUCAAACAGAGUCGGACAAGUCAAAACCAUAGUUUGGUUCUUGGCUUAUGCUUGGAGGCAGAGCAGAGAGGAACAAAGAAAACAAUGCCUUACCUGGAAAAUGGGCAGCAUUCAAGCUCUUGCUUCUGCUCUAACUGCGAAAACUAAACUAAACUUAUCUCUGUAAACUGUUCAUUUACCUGCAUAUAUGUAUUUUCACAGGUUCCUCAGAAACCCAUUGUGAGAACUGCUGCUUCCUCUUUUGAGGUUUUUGUCGAUGAAGAAGAAUGUACAGACAGUGAGGGAGUAGAGAAAAGGAAGAAGAUUGAAACCAUCUCACCAUCAUCAUCAAACGUUUUGCCACUUAAUGAUGGCCGUGAGAUAAAGAAGUGCAACGCAUCGUAGAGGAUCCUUCUGUACUGGUGGCUACAUACGAAGGGACGCAUAACCACUUAGGUCCAACGCUUCUGAAGGGAAUGUUACAAGACAAGUUGGAUCAAGCACUGUGACUGUGACUUUGGAUAUGGUUUAUGGUGGGCAUAGAUUAGCUGUGGAGAAGAAUGAAAGCGGCUGCUAUAUCUGGGAGGUUGAUGGAGCAGUCUAGAACAUGAAGCUUUCAUUGAAUGUUUUUGUUUUGGUCUUCAUCCACGGAAAUUAGGAUGGCAUUUUGUACUCUUUCGAAUUGUAGAGGUUACGUGAGAAAAAAUGAAAACUUUAAGUGUAUAUAAAUAUUACAUGAAAAAUCAUUAGCAUUCAAGGAAAUUUAAAUGUCAUU